AUACUUACCUGGCAGGGAAGACACCAUGAUCAGGAAGUAGCUUUCCCAGGGUGAGGCUCACUCGUCGCACUCUGGGUGUGCUGACUCCUGCAAUUUUCCCAAAUGCAAGAAACUCAACUGCAUAAUUUGUGGUAGUGGGGGGGAUGGAUAACAACCAAUUUAGAGCACCAA